GCCUGGGUUGCUCAGUCGGUUAAGCGUCCGACUUCGGCUCAGGUCAUGAUCUCAUGGUUUGUGGGUUCAAGCCCCGCAUCAGGCU
rnacentral:tRNA from 1 species